rnacentral:rRNA from 1 species
UAUCUCUGUAGAGUCUGCAUAUCAAUAAGCGGAGGAAAAGAAACUAACAAGGAUUCCCCUAGUAACGGCGAGUGAAGCGGGAAGAGCUCAAAUUUGAAAUCUUCAAGGUUCUACCUUGACGAAUUGUAGUUUAAAGAAGUGUUUUCGGUUAGAGGAGUAGUAAAAGUUCUUUGGAAUAGGACAUCAUAGAGGGUGAGAAUCCCGUAUUUGACUAUUCUUUCUAGCUUUGUGAUACACUUUCAAAGAGUCGGAUUGUUUGGGAAUGCAGUCCAAAAUGGGUGGUAAAUUUCAUCUAAAGCUAAAUAUUGGCGAGAGACCGAUAGCGAACAAGUACCGUGAGGGAAAGAUGAAAAGAACUUUGAAAAGAGAGUUAAACAGUACGUGAAAUUGUCAAAAGGGAAGCGUUUGACACCAGCGUUGUUUUUCCGAAAAUCAAUUAAAAAUUGAUUCAUGCCAGGUUGUAUUGACCUUAUCAGCUUGCAAUUUGGUUUUGGGUCUCUUUUUGAUGCACUUUUCGGUUAACAAGUCAACAUCAAUUUCCUUUGCCGUAAAAAGGUAAGAGGAAGGUGGCUUCAAUUUCGGUUGAAGUGUUUAUAGCCUUUUAUCUCUGCAGUCGGGGAGAUUGAGGUCUGCAGCGUAGAUCCUUCGGGGCUAGAUACAUUUAUGCUAAGUUAUAGCUUUUCAUAGACAACUUGUUGACUAUGUUUAGUCAUGUAGCUUACUCGUAAGUGCUAUUUUACCUACGCUUAGGAUGUUGAGCGCAUGUCUCUCUCU